CAGGAUGAACGCUAGCUACAGGCUAACACAUGCAAGUCGAGGGCAGCAUGGGAGUUGCUUGCAACUUCUGAUGGCGACCGGCGCACGGGUGAGUAACGCGUAUCCAACCUUCCCCUUAGUAGGGCAUAGCCCGUAGAAAUGCGGAUUAAUACCCUAUGUUCUUCGAAGCGGUCAUCCAAUUUGAAGCAAAGAUUCAUCGCUAAGGGAUGGGGAUGCGUCCGAUUAGGUGUUGGCGGGUAACGGCCCACCAAGCCAUCGAUCGGUAGGGGUUCUGAGAGGAAGGUCCCCCACAUUGGAACUGAGACACGGUCCAAACUCCUACGGGAGGCAGCAGUGAGGAAUAUUGGUCAAUGGGCGAGAGCCUGAACCAGCCAUGUCGCGUGGAAAGGAUGAAGGUCCUAUGGAUUGUAAACUUCUUUUGCAGGAGGGUAAAGUGAGCUACGUGUAGUUCAUUGCAAGUACCCUGCGAAUAAGCAUCGGCUAACUCCGUGCCAGCCGCCGC
rnacentral:rRNA from 1 species